UCCAGCUAAUAUAGCAGGGCUGAAGCCUGAGAGAAGAAGCCCUGGAAGCUGUCAGAGAGGAGCCAUGGACACUGUCUCUGGACUGGACCCUGGACUCACUAUGGAACCUGAGGACAAGUCUUUGGACCCGAGGGAGACCAGCCACAGAAGAUUUGCUGUAAAGUCCUGCAACAUUGUCUUUCUGAUAUUCGGACUGCUGAGUAUUCUCCUAAUCUCCCUGCAGUUCAGUUCAGUGAUGCACACAGAGGAGGAGAAGGAGGCCCCCAGCAUCACAGAGUUC